CUUCUCUUCUGGGUGGCCGGCCGUUCGGUAGUUUCGUUCGGUAGAAUAAGAAAUAAACGAACGGGGCAGUACGGGCAGGUAAUUCCACAAAUACAUAUGAAAUACACGAACAAGCAAGAUAGUGCUCAGACAGAGGAAUCUGUCACAGUCCUCUUCAACCUAUAGUUCCUGUAAGUUUUCUUGUAAUUGUCCUAUUUAUAGUUAAAUCCCCC